UACGUAGGGGGCAAGGCGUUGUCCGGAAUUAUUGGGCGUAAAGAGCGCGUAGGCGGUCCGAUAAGUCGGCUGUGAAAGUCAGGGGCUCAACCCUUGAAAGCCGGCCGAUACUGUCGGACUAGAGUCCGGAAGAGGCGAGUGGAAUUCCCGGUGUAGCGGUGAAAUGCGCAGAUAUCGGGAGGAACAUCAGUGGCGAAGGCGGCUACCUGGCCCAAUACUGACACUCAGGUGCGACAGCGUGGGGAGCAAACAGG
rnacentral:rRNA from 1 species